rnacentral:lncRNA from 1 species
GGUGGUACCUAACACUACAGGGAGAUAACUCUGUAAAAUCAACUGAACGUUUUAAUUACGCUGUGUUGUUAAUGGAAUAUUAAGAUUCUCAGUGAUCAAAAGAAGUGUUUGUGAAACUGCUAUAUAACCAGUGUAUUUUUUCUGAUAUAACGGUUUAUUCAAAAUUUUUGAAAUUUUUAUAUUUUUGUUAAAGGAUCAAAGUAAAUACUUUGACAAAAUUUUAAGAAAAUUAAACGAGCCAAAUUAAUUUUAGCGAAAGUGUUGGGUACCACCUUAA